rnacentral:rRNA from 1 species
UCAGAAACUCAAAGGAAGUUGACGGGGCCCGGCACAAGCGGUGGAGUAUGUGGUUAAUUCGAUGCAACGCGAAGAACCUUACCUGGUCUUGACAUCCCGGAGACCCUUAGGAAACUAGGGGUGCUUCCAUCUGGAAGAAUCUGGAGACAGGUGCUGCAUGGCUGUCGUCAGCUCGUGUCGUGAGAUGUUGGGUUAAGUCCCGCAACGAGCGCAACCCUUGCCUUUAGUUGCCAGCAGUUCGGCUGGGCACUCUAAAGGGACUGCCGGUGUUAAACCGGAGGAAGGUGGGGAUGACGUCAAGUCCUCAUGGCCUUUAUGACCAGGGCUACACACGUACUACAAUGGCCGAUACAAAGGGCAGCGACACUGCGAGGUGAAGCCAAUCCCGUAAAAUCGGUCUCAGUCCGGAUUGGAGUCUGCAACUCGACUCCAUGAAGUUGGAAUCGCUAGUAAUCGUGGAUCAGCAUGCCACGGUGAAUACGUUCCCGGGCCUU